ensembl:snRNA U6 U6 spliceosomal RNA
GUGCUUGCUUCAGCAGCAUAUAUACCAAAAAUUGGAACCAUACAGGGAAGAUGAGCAUGGCUCCUUUGUAAGUUACCUAUAUAAAAAACAGAGGAGGAUCUCAAAUAA